GGUAACCUCGCGGUGCUUCGUCACCCGUGCGGGCGUCUGGGGCCUCCUCACAGCAGGUAACCUCGCGGUGCUUCGUCACCCGUGAGGGCAUCUCGGGCCUCCUCACAGCAGGUAACCUCGCGGUGCUUCAUCACGCGUGAGCACAUCUCAGGGCCUCCUCACAGCACAGGACGUUCGCGUUCGGGAGCUUCCCAGCGCUCACUGAAAGUUCAGGAACUUUUCCUACGUCGUCGAAUACGCAGUGGCCCUCCGACACGUGUUCUGCCUCUGCUUGUCUUGCCGUGGGGGCCGGAACGCCUGCCUGGAACCGAGCGAGCCCGUGGAAGAAUGGCGGUCCCCUAACUGGCGCCCCUGAGUGGGAAGAUCCCGGCGAGUGAUGCAGAGCGGCCUGCGCCUGCGGGAGGCGUGGGGAGCCGGACUCCGGCCCGGCCGGUGCCUGUCCCCUGUGCGGGGCGGAGGAUAAGGGGAAACCCGGAUCGGGAAGCGCGGGAAGGCUCUACUUCGGCAACACGGGGCCCCAGGAGGGGUGAUCUUGCCCGGCCGUCAGUGGUGGAGCGCCUCCGAGCCGGUGGGCAGAGGCGGGGGCGAGGCCGACGUCGGAUGAGGGCCAGGGAGCCCGGGCUGAGAGCCGCUGGGCGGCUCAGAAGGCAGUGCUGCUCUAGAACGCAAGUUCUGUGAGUGCAGGGGCUGUGUCAUUUGUUUCUUUAACACCUUUGGCCUAGAGCAGUGCCAAGCACUUGCUAGACUGUGAGGUUUCCAAGGGCAAGAAUAUUCUUUGGAUCCCGAGAAGGGGGAGCAGACACGCUACCUAGCCCUUAGUCAGCACUCAAUGGGGCAGUUGGAGCUCAGCAAGAAUAAAUGACUUGUUCAACAAAGGUCACAUGCUAAUUACAGGCAGAAGAGUCUGCAUGGUUAAAAUAUGUGUCCUACUUCUGGAAGGUCUUCAUGGCACUUCCCAGUCUAACCCACCCUAAACUGUGGAUUUCCUGAUUGCUUAGUUUGAAAGAAGACGAAAGGGGGGCCCAACGGUGUGAGUGCAGCAAAGUGUGCCUGGCCUCUUUCCGGCGCUUCACUUUGGGACCCCGGAGCUCAGUCCGAGAGAUGCUGUGGGUCAGGGCUCCAUGAGCUGGCGCGGGUGGUGCACCCCCUGGCUCCCAGCUGUUUCAUGCAUCCAGGAGCUAUGUGCGGGCGGACUCUGGCUGUGACUCCAGGCCU
rnacentral:lncRNA from 1 species